rnacentral:rRNA from 1 species
GACAGAGGGGGCAAGCGUUGCUCGGAAUUACUGGGCGUAAAGGGCGCGUAGGCGGGAUGGCAAGUCGGUCGUGAAAUCCCUCGGCUCAACUGAGGAUCGUCGAUCGAUACUGCUGUUCUUGAGGAUUGCAGAGGAGACUGGAAUUCCCGGUGUAGCGGUGAAAUGUGUAGAGAUCGGGAGGAACACCGGUGGCGAAGGCGGGUCUCUGGGCCGAUAUCGACGCUGAGGAGCGAAAGCGUGGGGAGCGAACAGG